AGGUGAAAUCCCAGCGAAAAGCGGUAGGUUCGUUCCCAGGCCAAGUGGUAGGCUCUCUGCCGGGCUACGGACACAGGUUCGAUCCCAGGCCAAGUGGUAGGCUCUCUGCCGGGCUACGGUCACAGGUGCAAUCCCAGCGAAAAACGGUAGGUUCGAUCCCAGGCCAAGUGGUAGGCUCUCUGCCGGGCUACGGUCACAGGUUCGAUCCCAGCGAAAAGCGGUAGGUUCGAUCCCAGGCUAAGUGGUAGGCUCUCUGCCGGGCUACGGUCACAGGUUCGAUCCCAGCGAAAAGCGGUAGGUUCGAUCCCAGGCCAAGUGGUAGGCUCUCUGCCGGGCUACGGACACAGGUUCGAUCCCAGGCUAAGUGGUAGGCUCUCUGCCGGGCUACGGUCAC
rnacentral:lncRNA from 1 species